rnacentral:rRNA from 1 species
GCGUGAGUGAUGAAGGCCUUAGGGUUGUAAAGCUCUUUUGGCGGGGACGAUGAUGACGGUACCCGCAGAAUAAGCCCCGGCUAACUUCGUGCCAGCAGCCGCGGUAAUACGAAGGGGGCGAGCGUUGUUCGGAAUUACUGGGCGUAAAGGGCGCGUAGGCGGCCGAUCAAGUCAGAUGUGAAAGUCCUGGGCUUAACCUGGGGACUGCAUUUGAUACUGAUUGGCUUGAAUGCAGGAGAGGAUAGCGGAAUUCCCAGUGUAGAGGUGAAAUUCGU